rnacentral:rRNA from 1 species
UUUGAUCAUGGCUCAGAACGAACGCUGGCGGCAUGCCUAACACAUGCAAGUCGAACGAGACCUUCGGGUCUAGUGGCGCACGGGUGCGUAACGCGUGGGAAUCUGCCCCUUGGUUCGGAAUAACAGUGGGAAACUACUGCUAAUACCGGAUGACGACGUAAGUCCAAAGAUUUAUCGCCGAGGGAUGAGCCCGCGUAGGAUUAGCUUGUUGGUGAGGUAAUGGCUCACCAAGGCGACGAUCCUUAGCUGGUCUGAGAGGAUGAUCAGCCACACUGGGACUGAGACACGACCCAGACUCCUACGGGAGGCAGCAGUGGGGAAUAUUGGACAAUGGGCGCAAGCCUGAUCCAGCAAUGCCGCGUGAGUGAUGAAGGCCUUAGGGUUGUAAAGCUCUUUUACCAGGGAUGAUAAUGACAGUACCUGGAGAAUAAGCUCCGGCUAACUCCGUGCCAGCAGCCGCGGUAAUACG